UUUAUAAAAUACUUGCUCCUGUGAAACUUGUCUCUGUGACACUAAUAUCGUUCAAAAAACACUACUUGUCUCUGUGAGAACUUGUCUCUGUGAAACAUCCCCAAAGAUAUUAUUAAACGAUCCUUCCCAAGUGUUGAUUUAGUCAAAAUGAGAAAUGAUGGUGAAUGGACCACUGAAGCCGAAAUAUUCUCGACAGCUGCAUUCUUGGAGACCGACAUUUACGUCUACCAUCCACAGAGUGGUGGGUAUGAAUGGCUGAAACAUUCCAAAAAUUUUAUAUUGAAUUGUAAUUUGGAAUGUGAUGAUAAGUUGUCAAGAGCGCUUUAUAUAGUCAAUAAAAGCGGACAACAUUUUGAAGUUGCGUAUUCGGUUGUAACUCACUGAAUACGCACUACAACUACCCCAAAGUCAACAUCACCGAUCCUGAAAUCUAACAGGAUGGAGGAAAAGAUGUACCAUCAACGACAACCUGGCAAUAUUGUGGAAUGAAGCUGGCACCAAAUGGGAUUAUUCUACAAAAAAUGCAAUAAAUGGGAAGAUUUGAGGGAAGACGAAGAGGAAGAGAAUGAGGGAGAGAUACAAGAAGGAGUCUGACUUUAAAUAUCUUAAUUUCAAAUAUCGCUCAUACAAAACUCCAAUAAACACAAUGGAGGACUAUCGACAAAUUGAAAGAAAAGCAGAAGGAAUUGAAAAAUGAAGAAGAAAAAACUGACCAAAUGUGAGAAAUAGAAAAUAUCAUGAAUAGAAUCUCGGCAAAUCAAAAAUUCAAUCAACACCCUCAAAGGUAAUAUGAAAAAAUAUAUUCUACUCUUAACUCAAUAAUAUUAUACCAGUAUUCUUGAAAUAACUAAUUUUUCUUGUUGCAGAUUUUGUUAUGAAUGCUGUGAAAACGUUAAAAAACGAGUAUAACAAAGAAAAUGGAGAAAAGACAUCUAUGAAAAAUCUCCACUUAUUUGAGUCUUAAAUCAACACCUCUAAGAUUGUGUUCUAGGAUCAAGAUGGUAUCAGGACUAAGAAAGGCUUAGAAAGUUGAAGAUACAUGUAUAUAUGAUGAAGUUUAGGUCAAGGACAUCUGGAUAAAUUUUUGCCAAUUGAAUAAUACUCAAGUCAACACCCUGAGGAGGUAGUCUGAUGAAAAUAUGAACAUUUUUUUCAACUAUAUGAUUCCAACUUAUAUUUUUUAAUCUUAUUUUUACUAAUAUUUCUACUAAAUAAACUUCUAAUUGUUCGAUUGAUGAAUUUUUUUAUUUUUUCAGUACCCUAUCAACAUCAACAGACUGAAUCAAACAUGUGUAGAUAGUGCAUGGAAUGAACAUAGCAGAAAUGAGCUACAGUGAGUCGGGUGGCGCCGAUGUCAUUGAGCAGUUAAUACAGAGCUAGCUGGGGCACUCUUACUACUUAGCCUUAGCAUGUUCUCCAUAUGUUCAAAUCUAUUAUUAAAUUUCAGCUGCAUUUUACAAUAGUAUGUAAUCAAGAAUAACUAGUUUAAAAUGAUUUUCAUGUAAUAAUGAUGAAUAUAAAAAACAACAGUAUCACAAGGUUAUUCUGUUUCAUCUGAAUUUUUAUCUGCAUGUGUAUUUAUCCUUCCAGCAUAAUAGGAUACAAAUACUAUAGUUAACCGCACAAAAAUAGUCUGAUGGAAAUUGGAAUGGCUGAGUACCUUCUCACCCCCGAACCCAUAGACGUUUACAAGUCAAAAUAUGUAUUAGAAAAAUAUUUAUCAAUUUGACAACUUCUUCAAUAAUAAACAUAAUUUGCACUCAUCUUUUCCAUCAGACUAUUCUCGUGCGGUUGACUAUAGUGACCUAUGGCAUUAAAUAAAAAUUGUCUGAGAAUACUAAUAAUAAUUUAUUGAUUCUUCUCCACUUUCACAACAAUUGAAAAAACACAAAAAAUUUCUAUACAUGAUAAAAAUAUAAAAAAGGUCAAAUGGCACACAAGACUUUCGUCUGAUCGUGAGCCUAAGGAAAAUAAAAACAAGAAAUUACAAAAAAGGUGAAAAACAACUACGGUAAGCAAAUGAAGAAGAACAAGAGGUUUGAAAAACUAAAGAAACUAUAGUAAGGUUAAGAAAAACACUAAGGGCCGUUUGCAUACGGUAGUCAAAGCUUAAAGGAAAUUGAAUCAGUUGGUGGCUUAAACUCAAAAUGAAACACAUUAUAACAAACACGACUUGAUACGGAUUUAAUCCACUUGAAAAUGAAAUUCAGUUUGAACUGUGACUGUUCAAACGGCACUAAGUGUCAGUUGCACAAAAGCCGGUUAAAUUUUAAACGUGAUUAAUUUUACGAGAAUCAAUCAGAGAAGCCUUCUUUUCUAAUAGGCCUUCUCUGAUUGGUUCUCUUGAAGUUAAUCACGGUCAAAGUUUAAUCGGCUUCUGUGCAACCGGGCCUAACUUUCCAAAUUCAUCUGAUUUCGAAGCUUCUCUUCAAUUAGAUAGAUAAUAAAGUUAUAACUGUGUUACAACUCUGAAAAUAAUGUCAUAACUCUCAUAACACUGUUAAAACAUAGAAAUCAGAGGAUAUGUAUUGAACAAUACCUUUGGUUUUAUUACGGAAAUCGAUAUUGAGCUUUUAUUUGCAUGAAUCAAUAUACUUCAUAGGUAGCGAAUAGCAAGAUGGACCCUGUUGUCAUUAUAUUUUCAAAUGGCUGCAAGGGACCAUUCCGUUAUGCACUACAAUUCUGGGUACAAGUGGAUCUUCGAGCAAUAACCGUUCCCUUUUAGGUUAUCUUACUGUUGGUUAUGGAUACUCGGCAUUCUGUGCGACGUCAUAGUUCCUAAGAAUAUUCUGGUGACGUCAUAGUGACUAAGAAUAUCACUGCAUGUGUAUGCGCGUGCGUACGUUGCCCUGUGACGUAACGUACUAAGACUAUUUCAUACUA